CCCAAGUUGGGUACUACUACUGCGGAUAGAUUACCUUCUCAAGUUAGGCAGACCCUGAAGUACGUUCAAUAAUUGAUAGUGAGAAGAAUCGUCAGUUUAACAGCUUGGAGCUCAUUGCUUCAUAGAAUUUUACAUCUCGCGCAGUGAUGGAAGCUGUGGGUUCUUGUCUCACAAACAAGUAUUCAGAAGGGCUUCCUGGUAAAAGGUACUAUGGUGGCAAUGAGUACAUUGAUGAGCUAGAGACACUUUGUCAACAAAGGGCUUUGGCUGCAUUUCACUUAGACCCAAAGAAAUGGGGAGUUAAUGUC